CUCAGAAGAAAAAAAUUUUUAAAAUUCUCUAAGGGUAUUAGAAAAUAGCUGUUGGCUUUUUGACUCUAGCCUUCUUGUUCAUAAGAGAAAAUCAUGAUAUGAGUAAUUUAAAGUAACAUUAAAAAUAAGUCUCUUGACAGCCCUUGCUCGUCUUUUGCUUUCGGCUGUGAAUGUUUCUUUAGGGUGAAAUACCAAACUCUGCCACACGGGGGAAGCAGAGCACCGCUGUCAGUACUCCACCAACCAAGCCUUGCUCUGAGUUUGGGGUUGAAUUUCAAAAUCUGGAAGUUAGAAUUGAAAAUAACGGAAGGCUGGAAGGUUGGACACAAAGGAGGGUUUUCCAGCAGAUCCUGGUUGCUGAGUGGCUGUGAUGAUGUCCCGCCCUGGGGGAUGUUAAGUCAGGUGGCGCUCACCAUGCCCACUGAGCUGGCCUUGGGCUGUGAGGUUGUGCAAGACACCGUCAGCCACAGCCCUGAAAGGAGGGUGACAACGAGGACCCAGCCUGCAGAGCCAUGGCAGAGACAAAGUUCCGAGGUGACACGCUGCCCAAGGAUGCUGGGGCAGGUACCUGUCAGCAGGUAAACCUGUGAAUCCCUCAUUUCCUUUUCAGGGUCAUUAGUCUGGCCCUGCCUUAGCCUCUGGGCUCCAGGACCAUAAAGGCGGCCGCUGACCUGGGACCAGGAAGGUGCUCCUUCCCAGUUAACACGAGGUCUUCUUGAAUGCUACCCUUGCAGCGAAAGACAGCGCCACGGCCACCCUGGAUUCUCUCCUCAUGCUCACCUGUAAGGAGCAUCCUUUGUUUCUAUUUUCAGAAUGUACCUCGACUC
rnacentral:lncRNA from 9 species